rnacentral:misc_RNA from 1 species
GAUGAAGAACGCAGUGAAAUGCGAUAAGUAAUGUGAAUUGCAGAAUUCAGUGAAUCAUCGAAUCUUUGAACGCACCUUGCACCCUUUGGCAUUCCGAAGGGUAUGCUCGUUUGAGUGUCAUUGUACUCUCACACUCUCCGAUCCUAUGGAUUCGGGGAGCGGUGGACUUGGGUGUUGCUGCCUUUCCUUGUGGCUCACCUCAAAUGUGUCAGUGCACCUCUUGGUUGGACAUAGUACGGCGUGAUAAGUGUCUUCGCCGGCACCUCGCAAGAGGGUGGCCGAUCGGGAGCUCUGUGCUUUCAAACCGUCUUCGGACAAUUUCUGACAACUUGACCUCAAAUCGAGUAGGACUACCCGCUGAACUUAAGUAUAUCAAUAAGCGGAGGA